UAGACCAGUCCUCUACUCUACCUGGUCUCAGGUAUCCUGUAGAAGGUGUAGACCAGUCCUCUACUCUACCUGGUCUCAGGUAUCCUGUAGAAGGUAUAGACCAGUCCUCUACUCUACCUGGUCUCAGGUAUCCUGUAGAAGGUAUAGACCAGUCCUCUACUCUACCUGGUCUCAGGUAUCCUGUAGAAGGUAUAGACCAGUCCUCUACUCUACCUGGUCUCAGGUAUCCUGUAGAAGGUGUAGACCAGUCCUCUACUCUACCUGGUCUCAGGUAUCCUGUAGAAGGUGUAGACCAGUCCUCUACUCUACCUGGUCUCAGGUAUCCUGUAGAAGGUAUAGACCAGUCCUCUACUCUACCUGGUCUCAGGUAUCCUGUAGAAGGUGUAGACCAGUCCUCUACUCUACCUGGUCUCAGGUUUCCUGUAGAAGGUGUAGACCAGUCCUCUACUCUACCUGGUCUCAGGUUUCCUGUAGAAGGUGUAGACCAGUCCUCUACUCUACCUGGUCUCAGGUAUCCUGUAGAAGGUGUAGACCAGUCCUCUACUCUACCUGGUCUCAGGUAUCCUGUAGAAGGUGUAGACCAGUCCUCUACUCUACCUGGUCUCAGGUAUCCUGUAGAAGGUGUAGACCAGUCCUCUACUCUACCUGGUCUCAGGUAUCCUGUAGAAGGUGUAGUAGACCUGCAGGAAGAACUCAUGCGGUAUGUCCUUCAGUCCCAGCACAUUCUGGAGACAAAACAACACUGAAUUAACACUGUCCUCAUACAGGGAUGGUGUGUGUGUGUGUGUGUCUCACCUUGACUUGACCGAAGGCUAUGGUUACCGCGGCAGCACAGGUGAAGCCUUUGAUCACCGGAAAUGAGAUGAAGUCCAGAAGAAACCCUGAAACCAGAAAUUAUCUAGAAAUAGAACUAUGAGGAUGAUCUAGAACCAGCACUAUGAUGAUCCCAAACCAGAACUAUGAGGGUGAUCUCGAACCAGAACUACGAGGAUGAUCUAGAACCAGGACUACGGGGUUGAUCUAGAACCAGGACUACGAGGUUGAUCUAGAACCAGGACUACGGGGUUGAUCUAGAACCAGGACUACGAGGUUGAUCUAGAACCAGGACUACGAGGUUGAUCUAGAACCAGGACUACGAGGUUGAUCUAGAACCAGGACUAUGAGGUUGACCUAGAACCAGGACUACGAGGUUGAUCUAGAACCAGGAGUACUAGGUUGAUCUAGAACCAGGACUACGAGGUUGAUCUAGAACCAGGACUACGAAGUUGAUCUAAAACCAGGACUAUGAGGUUGAUCUAGAACCAGGACUACAAGGUUGAUCUAGAACCAGGACUACGAGGUUGAUCUAGAACCAGGACUACAAGGUUGAUCUAGAACCAGGACUACAGGGUUGAUCUAGAACCAUAACUACAAGGGUGAUCUAGAACCAGAACUACGAGGGUGAUCUAGAACCAGAACUAUGAGGAUGAUCUUGAAGACAAUCUACAACAAACUAUUAUUUCUCCCCUACCCAAACG